rnacentral:rRNA from 1 species
AUUGAACGCUGGCGGCAUGCCUUACACAUGCAAGUCGAACGGCAGCACGGGUGCUUGCACCUGGUGGCGAGUGGCGAACGGGUGAGUAAUACAUCGGAACAUGUCCUGUAGUGGGGGAUAGCCCGGCGAAAGCCGGAUUAAUACCGCAUACGAUCUACGGAUGAAAGCGGGGGACCUUCGGGCCUCGCGCUAUAGGGUUGGCCGAUGGCUGAUUAGCUAGUUGGUGGGGUAAAGGCCUACCAAGGCGACGAUCAGUAGCUGGUCUGAGAGGACGACCAGCCACACUGGGACUGAGACACGGCCCAGACUCCUACGGGAGGCAGCAGUGGGGAAUUUUGGACAAUGGGCGAAAGCCUGAUCCAGCAAUGCCGCGUGUGUGAAGAAGGCCUUCGGGUUGUAAAGCACUUUUGUCCGGAAAGAAAUCCUUGGCCCUAAGACGGUCGGGGGAUGACGGUACCGGAAGAAUAAGCACCGGCGAACUACGU